rnacentral:rRNA from 1 species
UACGUAGGGGGGCAAGCGUUGUCCGGAUUUAUUGGGCGUAAAGAGCGUGUAGGCGGCCACACAGGUCUGCUGUGAAAAACUCGAGGCUCAACCUCGAGCUGUCGGUGGAAACCGUGUGGCUAGAGUCCGGAAGAGGAGAGUGGAAUUCCCGGUGUAGCGGUGAAAAUGCGCAGAUAUCAGGAGGAACACCAACAGCGAAGGCAGAUCUCUGGGACGUAACUGACGCUGAGACGCGAAAAGCGUGGGGGAGCAAAACAGG